GUGUCAGCAGCCGCGGUAAUACGUAGGGUGCAAGCGUUGUCCGGAAUUACUGGGCGUAAAGAGCUCGUAGGUGGUUUGUCGCGUCGUCUGUGAAAUCCCGGGGCUUAACUUCGGGCGUGCAGGCGAUACGGGCAUAACUUGAGUGCUGUAGGGGAGACUGGAAUUCCUGGUGUAGCGGUGAAAUGCGCAGAUAUCAGGAGGAACACCGAUGGCGAAGGCAGGUCUCUGGGCAGUUACUGACGCUGAGGAGCGAAAGCAUGGGUAGCGAACAGGAUUAGAUACCCCCGUAGUCC
rnacentral:rRNA from 1 species